CCGUCCUUCAGUUAUGUUAUCACUUAUGUUGAAAUUAUUAUUUUGAAUAAUUGAGCAUAUUUAUCAUUGAAACCUCCAAUUAGUAUACGUUACAUAAUGCAAGACAUUCUCAACAUUUUGCAGGAACCAAAACUUAAUUAUGACAAGGUUAAAGAUUUUUACACUGAAAUAUUUUAAUGUCUAUUUCUAUUUAUAGUGUUGG
rnacentral:lncRNA from 1 species